GGAAGUAAAAGUCGUAACAAGGUCUCCGUUGGUGAACCAGCGGAGGGAUCAUUACCGAGUGUAAAAACUCCCAAACCAUUGUGAACCUACCACUGUUGCUUCGGCGGCCUCGCCCCGGGCGCGUUCGCGCGGCCCGGACCCAGGCGUCCGCCGGAGGCUCCAAACUCUUGUCUUUUAGUGUAUUUCUGAGUGGCAUAAGCAAAUAAAUCAAAACUUUCAGCAACGGAUCUCUUGGUUCUGGCAUCGAUGAAGAACGCAGCAAAAUGCGAUAAGUAAUGUGAAUUGCAGAAUUCAGUGAAUCAUCGAAUCUUUGAACGCACAUUGCGCCCGCCAGUAUUCUGGCGGGCAUGCCUGUCUGAGCGUCAUUUCAACCCUCAGGACCCGUUCGCGGGACCUGGCGUUGGGGAUCAGCCUGCCCCUGGCGGCGGCUGGCCCUGAAAUCCAGUGGCGGUUCCCUCGCGAACUCCUCCGUGCAGUAAUUAAACCUCUCGCGGCAGGAUAGCGGUUGAACCACGCCGUUAAACCCCCCACUUCUCAAGGUUGACCUCAGAUCAGGUAGGAAUACCCGCUGAACUUAAGCAUAUCAAUAAGCGGAGGA
rnacentral:rRNA from 1 species